rnacentral:rRNA from 1 species
GACGUAGGGUGCGAGCGUUGUCCGGAUUUAUUGGGCGUAAAGAGCUCGUAGGCGGCUCGUCGCGUCGACCGUGAAAACCCGCGGCUUAACUGCGGGCUUGCGGUUGAUACGGGCGGGCUAGAGUUCGGUAGGGGAGACUGGAAUUCCUGGUGUAGCGGUGAAAUGCGCAGAUAUCAGGAGGAACACCAGUGGCGAAGGCGGGUCUCUGGGCCGAUACUGACGCUGAGGAGCGAAAGCGUGGGGAGCGAACAGG